rnacentral:rRNA from 1 species
GACGAACGCUGGCGGCGUGCCUAAUACAUGCAAGUAGAACGCUGAAGCGAGGAGCUUACUCUUCUUGGAUGAGUUGCGAACGGGUGAGUAACGCGUAGGUAACCUGCCUUGUAGCGGGGGAUAACUAUUGGAAACGAUAGCUAAUACCGCAUAACAAUGGAUGACACAUGUCAUUUAUUUGAAAGGGGCAAUUGCUCCACUACAAGAUGGACCUGCGUUGUAUUAGCUAGUAGGUGAGGUAACGGCUCACCUAGGCGACGAUACAUAGCCGACCUGAGAGGGUGAUCCGCCACACUGGGACUGAGACACGGCCCAGACUCCUACGGGAGGCAGCAGUAGGGAAUCUUCGGCAAUGGGGGCAACCCUGACCGAGCAACGCCGCGUGAGUGAAGAAGGUUUUCGGAUCGUAAAGCUCUGUUGUAAGUCAAGAACGGGUGUGAGAGUGGAAAGUUCACACUGUGACGGUAGCUUACCAGAAAGGGACGGCUAACUACGUG